rnacentral:snRNA from 1 species
GGAUGUGAGGGCGAUCUGGCUGUGACAUCUGUCACCCCGUUAAUCACCAGGGUUGAUUCGGCUGAUCUGGCUGGCUAGGCGGGUGUCCCCUUCCUCCCUCACAGCUCCAUGUGUGUCCCUUCCCGGAGCUGCGCACUCGGUUGAAGAGGGCGACCUUUCCCGACAAGGAGGACCUUCCUUAGGUGAGGGUAUAAGAGUAGCUGCGCUCCCCUGCUAGAACCUCCACACAAGUCUCACGAUUUACAGUCUCAGAAACCCACAGGGGCCAAUUCUACUCUGUCCUAACCGCUUCAAUGGCAGUGAGUU